CUUGAUGUCCACUUGUAACAGCACAGACACAAUACACUGAAAAAGAAUGUGAGAUGUACAUAGUCUUGGUUGUGAUAAAAUCCCAGAAACAACAGUGCUUGGUGUGCACUUGCUUGCAGCAUAAACACAUUGAAGAAGAGAAUAUGAGGAGCAUUAAGUGGCAUGGAGUCAAGAGUUCAUUCAGUUGCACUCAGAUCACAUUCUGAAUGAAUACUGC